rnacentral:rRNA from 1 species
CGAUUAGUCGGUGUUAAUAUACGACCCGACUAGCAGCUUCCGGGAAACCAAAGUUUUUCGUUUCCGGGGGAAGUAUGGUUGCAAAGCUGAAACUUAAAGGAAUUGACGGAAGGGCACCACCAGGAGUGGAGCCUGCGGCUUAAUCUGACUCAACACGGGAAAACUCACCCGGCCCGGACACCGUAAGGAUUGACAGACUGAGAGCUCUUUCUUAAUUCGGUGGGUGGUGGUGCAUGGCCGUUCUUAGUUGGUGGAGCGAUUUGUCUGGUUAAUUCCGAUAACGAACGAGACUCUGGCCUAUUAAAUAGUCGGUAUAUCCAGAAAAGUUUACCGUACUUCUUAGAGGGACAAACGGCGUCUAGCCGCGUGAAAUAGAGCAAUAACAGGUCUGUGAUGCCCUUAGAUGUCCGGGGCUGCACGCGCGCUACACUGGAGGAAUCAGCGUGCUGUAACCAUUGCCGAAAGGCAUUGGUAACCCCUUGAAAAUCCUCCGUGAUCGGGAUCGGGAAUUGCAAUUAUUUCCCUUGAACGAGGAAUUCCUAGUAAGUGUGAGUCAUCAGCUCACGUUGAUUACGUCCCUGCCCUUUGUACACAACCGCCCGUCGCUGCCCGGGACUG